GGUAUGUAAAGUUCUAUCAGCAGGGAAGAUAAUGACGGUACCUGACUAAGAAGCACCGGCUAAAUACGUGCCAGCAGCCGCGGUAAUACGUAUGGUGCAAGCGUUAUCCGGAUUUACUGGGUGUAAAGGGAGCGCAGGCGGUGCGGCAAGUCUGAUGUGAAAGCCCGGGGCUCAACCCCGGUACUGCAUUGGAAACUGUCGUACUAGAGUGUCGGAGGGGUAAGCGGAAUUCCUAGUGUAGCGGUGAAAUGCGUAGAUAUUAGGAGGAACACCAGUGGCGAAGGCGGCUUACUGGACGAUAACUGACGCUGAGGCUCGAAAGCGUGGGGAGCAAACAGGAUUAGAUACCCUGGUAGUCCACGCCGUAAA
rnacentral:rRNA from 1 species